GAGUUUGAUCCUGGCUCAGAACGAACGCUGGCGGCGUGCCUAACACAUGCAAGUCGAACGGAUUUGAGGGGCUUGCUCCUCAAGUUAGUGGCGCACGGGUGAGUAACGCGUAGAUAAUCUGCCUGAUGAUCUGGGAUAACACUUCGAAAGGGGUGCUAAUACCGGAUAAGCCCACGGGGUCUUUGGAUUCUGCGGGAAAAGGGGGGGACUUUCGGGCCUUCUGUCAUCAGAUGAGUCUGCGUACCAUUAGCUAGUUGGUAGGGUAAUGGCCUACCAAGGCUACGAUGGUUAGCUGGUUUGAGAGAAUGAUCUGCCACACUGGAACUGAGACACGGUCCAGACUCCUACGGGAGGCAGCAGUGGGGAAUUUUGCGCAAUGGGCGAAAGCCUGACGCARCAACGCCGCGUGAGUGAUGAAGGCUUUCGGGUCGUAAAGCUCUGUCGAGGGGAAAGAAGUGUAUUGUGGCUAAUAUCCACGAUACUUGACGGUACCCCUAAAGGAAGCACCGGCUAACUCCGUGCCAGCAGCCGCGGUAAUAC
rnacentral:rRNA from 1 species